rnacentral:rRNA from 1 species
UACGAAGGGGGCUAGCGUUGCUCGGAAUCACUGGGCGUAAAGCGCACGUAGGCGGCUUUCUAAGUCAGGGGUGAAAUCCUGGAGCUCAACUCCAGAACUGCCUUUGAUACUGGAGAGCUCGAGUCCGGAAGAGGUGAGUGGAACUCCGAGUGUAGAGGUGAAAUUCGUAGAUAUUCGGAAGAACACCAGUGGCGAAGGCGGCUCACUGGCCGGUACUGACGCUGAUGUGCGAAAGCGUGGGGAG